UUUAUGGAGAGUUUGAUCCUGGCUCAGGAUGAACGCUGGCGGCGUGCCUAAUACAUGCAAGUCGAGCGAACGGACGAGAAGCUUGCUUCUCUGAUGUUAGCGGCGGACGGGUGAGUAACACGUGGAUAACCUGCCUAUAAGACUGGGAUAACUUCGGGAAACCGGAGCUAAUACCGGAUAAUAUUUUGAACCGCAUGGUUCAAAAGUGAAAGACGGUCUUGCUGUCACUUAUAGAUGGAUCCGCGCUGCAUUAGCUAGUUGGUAAGGUAACGGCUUACCAAGGCAACGAUGCAUAGCCGACCUGAGAGGGUGAUCGGCCACACUGGAACUGAGACACGGUCCAGACUCCUACGGGAGGCAGCAGUAGGGAAUCUUCCGCAAUGGGCGAAAGCCUGACGGAGCAACGCCGCGUGAGUGAUGAAGGUCUUCGGAUCGUAAAACUCUGUUAUUAGGGAAGAACAUAUGUGUAAGUAACUGUGCACAUCUUGACGGUACCUAAUCAGAAAGCCACGGCUAACUACGUGCCAGCAGCCGCGGUAAUACGUAGGUGGCAAGCGUUAUCCGGAAUUAUUGGGCGUAAAGCGCGCGUAGGCGGUUUUUUAAGUCUGAUGUGAAAGCCCACGGCUCAACCGUGGAGGGUCAUUGGAAACUGGAAAACUUGAGUGCAGAAGAGGAAAGUGGAAUUCCAUGUGUAGCGGUGAAAUGCGCAGAGAUAUGGAGGAACACCAGUGGCGAAGGCGACUUUCUGGUCUGUAACUGACGCUGAUGUGCGAAAGCGUGGGGAUCAAACAGGAUUAGAUACCCUGGUAGUCCACGCCGUAAACGAUGAGUGCUAAGUGUUAGGGGGUUUCCGCCCCUUAGUGCUGCAGCUAACGCAUUAAGCACUCCGCCUGGGGAGUACGACCGCAAGGUUGAAACUCAAAGGAAUUGACGGGGACCCGCACAAGCGGUGGAGCAUGUGGUUUAAUUCGAAGCAACGCGAAGAACCUUACCAAAUCUUGACAUCCUUUGACAACUCUAGAGAUAGAGCUUUCCCCUUCGGGGGACAAAGUGACAGGUGGUGCAUGGUUGUCGUCAGCUCGUGUCGUGAGAUGUUGGGUUAAGUCCCGCAACGAGCGCAACCCUUAAGCUUAGUUGCCAUCAUUAAGUUGGGCACUCUAAGUUGACUGCCGGUGACAAACCGGAGGAAGGUGGGGAUGACGUCAAAUCAUCAUGCCCCUUAUGAUUUGGGCUACACACGUGCUACAAUGGACAAUACAAAGGGCAGCGAAACCGCGAGGUCAAGCAAAUCCCAUAAAGUUGUUCUCAGUUCGGAUUGUAGUCUGCAACUCGACUACAUGAAGCUGGAAUCGCUAGUAAUCGUAGAUCAGCAUGCUACGGUGAAUACGUUCCCGGGUCUUGUACACACCGCCCGUCACACCACGAGAGUUUGUAACACCCGAAGCCGGUGGAGUAACCUUUUAGGAGCUAGCCGUCGAAGGUGGGACAAAUGAUUGGGGUGAAGUCGUAACAAGGUAGCCGUAUCGGAAGGUGCGGCUGGAUCACCUCCUUU
rnacentral:rRNA from 1 species